AUUGAACGCUGGCGGCAGGCCUAACACAUGCAAGUCGAACGAGUGGCGGACGGGUGAGUAAUGUCUGGGAAACUGCCCGAUGGAGGGGGAUAACUACUGGAAACGGUAGCUAAUACCGCAUACCAUCGGAUGUGCCCAGCUGGGCUUAGCUAGUAGGUGGGGUAAAGGCUCACCUAGGCGACGAUCCCUAGCUGGUCUGAGAGGAUGACCAGCCACACUGGAACUGAGACACGGUCCAGACGCCUACGGGAGGCAGCAGUGGGGAAUAGUGCACAAUGGGGGCAAGACUGAUGCAGCAAUGCCGCGUGUAUGAAGAAGGCCUGCGGGGUGUAAAGCACUUGCAGCGAGGAGGCGGUACUCGCAGAAGAAGCACCGGCUAACUCCGUGCCAGCAGCCGCGGUAAUUC
rnacentral:rRNA from 1 species